UGGAUUCUUCCCUAUAUAUUAUUUUGUCACCUGAUUGAUAUUUGAUUAUUUUCAUGUUUAGCUAUUCGGUGCAUUUGUUAUCUGACUUUAGUUUUAAAAAAUCCUUUGAAUUAUUAGGUUAAAUAAUAGAAAGAAGAUAAUUACUAGUAAUUGUAGUCCUCAAGGAAAUGAUAUCAUGUCUCACCAACUAUACUAUUAAUUGAGAUGUGCACUUGUUUUAGUCGAUUUAAUAGUUAGUUUUAUGGAUACCACCACUGCUAGAUGACCUCUGAC
rnacentral:lncRNA from 1 species